AAAUAUAUUUAUGGGAUUACACCUCUAAAUAGGGGUAAGAUUAAUUAGUAUUAAUGUGGUUUUUCAUGGUCUAUACAUGUGAAAUAUGGAGAAAAGCACAGGGAUUUUCUCUUUUUCCACAGGAGAGGCUGCACUUCUUCAAAAUCUCCUUCAAGAAUCUGCCAAGAACAGAAAGAAGUAGAAAAAGGCAAGAAGAGAACCCAGGCUGAGCCCAAACAUCCCCAGGGGCCUCCAAAACAGGAUGCCAAGGUGGCUGAGCCCCAGAGAUCAGAAGGCAAAGUUUCCACGCUGGAGGAGCCUCCAAGUGAGUUUUAUUUUUGCUUUUUGUCAAGUCUGAGCCACUUCUUCCUCUUCUGCUGCCAUAAUUAGUAACCAGAAGUAAAUUUCCUGUUGUUUCCACAACAAAAGCAAUCAUCUUUUACUUCUUUCUUAAACACUUCUGUAUUUCUGUCUUAAUUUCUCAAUGUUUUUUUGUAAUUUGAAUCUCCUUGACUGAAGUUAGAGUAAAAUCUGAGUCACAGGCUGGAAAUGCUUUCCCUCCUCCUGAGCCAGGACCUGAAAGGAUCUAAAUUGAAGAGGAAUCUGUAUUUCAAUUUUUACAAUUAACUUGUGGUUAAUAAGAGCUCCAUCAGAAAAUAAUUCUGCAGGUAAAGAGGGAAGGGGCCACAAAGUAUUUGGCAGAGUGGAUUUUUAGCUGCAGACUCUGAGAGUUGUGUGAUUUCUUCUUCAUGUCUGGCUUGGUUUUUUUUGCUUUUUUUUUAAUAAACAAAUCAUUUUAUAGAAAGAACUCUCAUCCCCUAAAACUCCCCCAGUGCCAGAGUUACUUUUAUGCACUGGAAGUGAAAUUCAGGCAGUUCUGAGCUUCAAAGGGAAAUCCUUUCCUAAAUUUUCCUGGGGGUUUUCACCACCUGCUCUCACCUGUCUGAAGCCUUUGGUGCCUGUUCCUGGCAUAUUUAAAUACCUGGGGAGGUGCCAAAGCACAGAGCACUUGAAAAUUGGCUUUUGGGAAACCACUGAAGGUGUGUUAGAAAAUAUUAUUUUUGAAUGAGCAGCAGGAGGGAGUGAUCCUGACCUUGGGAGCUUUGUGAACACCUUGAAGGGUUUGAGGAUUUCUUGGAAGAUGGGGUGAAGGCUGCAUAGGAACUCUCAAGAUGUUUUUGUUGGAAAGAUGUCAAGGCUGGGAGAGUUGGGGUUGUUCAGCCUGGGAAAGGUUUUAUAGAGAGCUGAGAGUUGGGGUUGUUCAGCCUGGGAAAGGCUUUAUGGAGAGCUCAGAGCCUAAAGGGGCUCCAGGAGAGCUCU
rnacentral:lncRNA from 1 species